rnacentral:sRNA from 1 species
GGUGGCUGGGAGUCUCCCGGCUGCUCAGCCUCCCUUCUUCCCUCCCUAGCUCUCCCUGCUUCCCUCCCUCCUCCACCCGCCCCUCGGGCAGGGACUGUGCAAAUCGAGGAGAGGGGAGGACCAACAGGCUACACAGGGUCCAGCUAAGGGGCCAGGUCUCCUCACUGAGACCCUCUCCAAGCUAGGUGUUCCCCGCAUCAUGGAACCUGGAUUUGUAUGAAGCGGGGUGAUUCCCAGGCCAGGAAUUCCUUCCAGCAGGUCCACUGUACCUUCGUCUCGCUUCAGGACCCCCCUUGGAUGCUCUGAGCCACCCUUCUCAACCCGGAUCUAAAACCUGGGACACGGCUAUCAGGCCAGCCUCUCUCUCCCUCCACCCCUCCCCCUCUUUCUGGCGUCCAUCCCCUCCCCAACACCACCUCUGCUGCUGCCUCUGGCUGUGGACCUGCACCUCUUCUCCAUCCUCGCCAGGCCCGGAGAGUGGGGUUAGCCUGGAUGAGAGUGUGCCCCUAACCUGAGGCCCUCCCAGGCCAUGGCUCAUGUGUUCCCAGGGAGGAGUCCAGGACCCUGAGCAUCUGCUAGAAGCUUGGCAGAGGCCCCGCUGGGACCGUGUCUUCUGAGGACAAAAGGCUGCGGCCAGCAGGCAGACUGGGUGGGGGGUGGGGGGGGUGGGGGAACCGGUAGCUAAGCAGGCAGAACAGUAGCGGAGCCAGCGCUGGCCCCCUCCCAGACUGGCGGUGGCAUGAAGAUGGGGGUGGGAGUGUGUAGUGGGAGAAGCACCUACCAGGACCCCCACCUGCCCACUACUUGGGCAUCCCAAAGCUGUGUGCUGCCCACCUGGUGUUCCCCAAAAUCUCCAGCUCUACCAAGUGCACCCCUCUGGCACCUGCUUCUCUUGCUGCCAGCGAUUUAGACCAACCAGGCUGUAUCCACGGCAACAGAAGCAGGAGUGUCACUGGCUGCCAGAUCACUGAGGGUCCCACAAUGUGGCCUGGGCUGUGGUUUAUCCGGGAUGACACAGAGUGAGCCUCCUUCCUGAAUUCCAAGACAGUCCUGCUAAGAAAACCCAGUCUCUACCUACAGGUAACAUACUUUUGCUCACUCACCCUGGAAGAUGUGUCCCAGCUAGUGGGAGGAAGCUGCUAUAGGAAUAGAGGAAGAUACCCAUAUUGUGUUUGGGACCUCCAGAUCUAUGACACAGUAGCCAGAGGUCCCUGUAUCUGGAGGUGCAGGAAAACCUGGUAUAUGGAGAACAUGGAUUCUACUAGGGACACGGCUCCUAACUACUAGCUCGCAACUUUAGUGGAGGCAUGUCACUUGUUGAACCUUGAUUUUCCCAUUUGUCAAAGAGACUGGUAACCCUUUCUUCACGGAUGUAUGCAGGGAUUAAAUAAAUUGGUGCAUGCAAACAAUUAAAUGUGUUUAUAGGAUGGUGCUGAGCAGUGGUCAGGGUCACUAUUAUGUUGCUGGUUGUUCAUGAUUAGCAUUGCUAUGGAUGAGGGGAAGGAUUAGCACCUUUUCUCCAGGGUCUCAGCAGAAAUCUAGGGAAGCCAGCAGGUGGGAGGAAGGAAGGUGGGAAGUAGAGGGAAGCAGAAAAGCUUUAUGUUAUUCCUUCUCAUUUGUAAAGAAUGAUACUUAGUUGUGGGCAGUCAUCCCUACCCUACUCAGGGUUUUUCCAUAUACUUCCCCUUCUUUGUGUACACAGACACAGACACACAGACACACACACAGACACACACACACACACACACACACACACACACACACACCAGACUGGGAGCCAGCAGAGGCCUGGCUUACAGCCUGCAGAAUUCCUGGCCCUGGUAUGUGUCCCUCUGUUGAGGGGAAAUUAGCAAGAGUUUGGCUUGUGGUCAGUGGUUGGCAGGGACUGGAGACAAGGCUGAAGCUUUUGAGAUUAUAGGGCUUUCAGUAGAGCUGGGGUGUGGUCCAUGCAGUAGCCUGAUCUGUAGCAGAGUUUGCCCAUCUAGACCCUGGGCUGGGGAGAAUAGGGUUUCCUAGCUGGUUUCUAGGUGUGGAGAUGUGGUAGAAUACCAAGGGGUUGGGAAUCAGCAGAGGAGCCAAAGGAGGGGAGAGAUUGAAACCAGAUUUCCUCUGAGGGACAGGGAGGGCUGGACCCUUUAGACAUGAGUAGACUUUCCUGAAGAAGCAUUUGAUGUGGAAAGGAGAGGAACUAGCCUGUUGCCCAGGGGCAUCUCAAGCUAAAACAAGGCAUAUAUAUAUAGAUAUACAUGAAGCCAAAUGACUGCACGUCUAGUCUCUGUGUACAUGUCUCAUCACUGCACUGUAGGUGGAUAUGAGUUUAUAUGUGUGUGAACAGGCUAUGAUGGCAUAUGGGAUUAUGUGGGUGUCUGAAUAGGUUUGUGUCUGUACUGGAGGGCACGGCUUUGCAUGUCUUCCUUGGGGAGUAAAUGGUCAUGUUUGAUUCUGACCCAAGUACUUGUGUGUUUCUCUGAGCCUGUAUUAGGCCUGUUGAGUGUGUGUGGUGUGUGUGCGUGUGUGCGUGUGCAUGCGUGCAAUGUCUAGUUGGUGCUGAUUGUGUAUAUUCCUGUUUUUCCAUGUGUGCCUUUCAGUGUGCAUUCAUCUAAUUUGUGUGAGUGUAAAAAUAGAUACAUGUGUCCCAUGCACAUAGGAGAAUGUAUUUGUGUGUGAACAUGCCUAUAUGUGUUGUAGGUGUAUCUCAUAUAUUUGUGUGAACAGGCCUAUGUGUAAAAGUCUGUAUAGAUUCUUUAGCAUUUUUCAUUAUAUGUCUGCAUGUGCAUGUUUGAGUGUCUACUGUCUCUAAACAAGCCUUUGUGUUCAUAUCUAUUUAAAGAAAUGUAAGUAUAAAUAGACACAUGGAGAUAAGAGAAGAGUAUAUGAAUGAAAAAUAUUUUUUGUGUGCACAGACUGUGGCGUUUACAACAGUGUGCAUUUUAUUCGGCCACAAGGCUGUGUGCAUAGGUGAAUGGGUACAUUUGUAGUUUGUUGUAAGUGCAUAUCUGAUUAUGGUAUGCAUGAGUGUUGCAGGAUACUUGGGCGCAUGUGUCUCAGUAUGUGUUUUAUUUGAAUUUUUGAGUGUGACUGUGUAUUUGAAUGUCUUGAGUGACUGUGCAUAUAUAUGCUAGUAUUUGCUAAUACCUGACUUGCAUAUAUUCAGGUGAACAUAUCUGUACAUAGGCAUGUGUUGUGAAACACAGUUAAGGGUAUAUUUUUUGAAUAAGCCUGUGGGUAUGCCCAUCUGAAUACACAAAAGUGUGAAGUACCAGUUUGCACAGUUUUUAUUUGCAUUUGUAUGUUUGUAUUUAUCUUGGUUUGGUCUAAAGCAUAUAUUAUAGAAUAAUGUAUUUAAAUCUAUGUGCAUGCCACUCUUAAUUCACAAGUACAUUUAUGUGUGUAUGCAUUUAUUUAAGAUGUCUUUGCAUGUAUGUAUGUGAUGUGUGGGUCAAAUUUUCUUAUGCAGAUCAACAAGUGCGCAUGCAAGAAUACAUGAGUGUACUUCUAUAUGUGCAUGUGUUGAAAUAUGCCCUUAUGUUCUAUUCCAAUGUACAUAUAAGUUACUCUUCUUUCAUUUAUGUGGCUUCUCAGAAUGGGUGUGUGAAUGUAACAGUGUAUAUAUACUUGACUGUGAUUGUGUGCUUUGUGAGUAUCUGCGUUUCCAUAUUUAAUUGUAUACCUAUAAGAAUGAAUUAAAGUAUGUACAAACUAUAAGCAUGUGUACAUGACCAGAUGUGUAUACAAGUCUAUGUUAGAAUAUCUGCAUAUGUAUACUUCAUCUCAUUUAUAAGCAUUUGCAUAUUUGGGUACAGAUAUGUGUGAACACGCCUAUACAGAUAUGUAUGCGUCCGUGUGUGUUUGUAUGUGUGUCUGUGUAUGAAUAUACUUCUGUGGUUAUGUUUGAUGAUUUAUGUAUACACACUUGGGAGCUUCCUCUUCUGUACCCAUAUUUCUUUAUCAUCUCUUUAGAUAUGAUACAUAUAUUUUUACAUAUCUCUGUAGAUAUGUAAAAAUACUUUUUCUACCCGUGUCCCCACUUGUGUUUGUGAGUGAAUGCAUGUCAUUCAUGAGUAUAUCAUGUGAAUAUAGCCUAUUUUAAAGAGUAAAUGGAUGUACUUGUGACUAAGUCCAAUGGAAAUGUGCCUGUGUGUGAAUAAAUAAAGGUAUUUGUGCAUCUGCCUAUCGGAUAUGAGA